CCUCCGUAUUGUCUGCAUUCAUAGAAGAAGUUCACUGGACCCAUAAUUACACUUUGCUGCAGCUCAUUGAGCGGCUGCUGCUGCAGCUGUGCUGCCUGUGCAGCCCAGCCAUUCGGCUGCAUGCCAAAAUAGCAGUACAGCUGCGCUAGCUGGCUGGGAGCAGUUGUUGAAGAAGCUGCUGCUGUCCUGUAGCGACUGUGCCGAGCAGGCCGUUUUCAGUCCACUGCAUCCCAUUCAGCAUAGCUGCAUAGGCCCCCAUGUGUAUCCAGCACCGUGUGUCCUCCGAGAGUUAAGAAGCCUCUAGAGUUUAGAAAAAUUAACAAUGCCUAACAUAGAUCAUAGUGAGGUUAAGAAGCUAAUGUGAGAACUUCAGCUAGUUUUGUAUAUGUGAGGUGACUGUCCUGCUGCACAGUAUCAUCUUCUUCUACAACUUCUCCCAAAUCAUCAACUAUCCUACCCAAAAUUGAAGUGCUCGCAAAUAGCACUGUCCCAUGAGAUUCAGGCCAGCGGCAACUCGGGGGAGGCACGAAACGUGCAACACUGAAAAAGUACAUAUGAGUUACAGUUUGCUUUACUUCGAUUAAUCACUAUCAUGCGGCAGUUUCUUAUACAACUUUGUUUAGUAGACCAUUCGUGCGCAACUAAACACACGAUCCGCACAUGCAUCCACCCAUCCAGGUGAAAACCACAACAAACCUAAUCAAAGACUUGAAGAAAUCUCCUGCAAUUUAUACCGUCAUGAGAACAGAUCGAAGAAAACUCGCAAAACCUGACACCGAUCGAUCCCCCGAUCCCCAACCACAACAAAUCAUCGAUUAAUAAACCAAAUCACGAAACCUCGGCAACAGGAGAGUUCACCUC
rnacentral:lncRNA from 1 species